rnacentral:rRNA from 1 species
UACGGAGGGACCAAGCGUUGUUCGGAAUUACUGGGCGUAAAGGGCUCGUAGGCGGCCAACUAAGUCGGAUGUGAAAUCCCCAGGCUUAACCUGGGAAUUGCAUUCGAAACUGCGAGGCUAGGGUACGGAAGAGGGAAGCGGAAUUUCUGGUGUAGCGGUGAAAUGCGUAGAUAUCAGAAGGAACACCAGUGGCGAAAGCGGCUUCCUGGUCCAGUACUGACGUUCAGGCACGAAAGCGUGGGGAGCAAACAGG